UGAGUGCCUGCACUUCUCUGGG
rnacentral:piRNA from 1 species